rnacentral:rRNA from 1 species
GAUGAACGCUGGCGGCGUGCCUAAUACAUGCAAGUCGAGCGAACAGAUGAGGAGCUUGCUCCUCUGACGUUAGCGGCGGACGGGUGAGUAACACGUGGAUAACCUACCUAUAAGACUGGGAUAACUUCGGGACACCGGAGCUAAUACCGGAUAAUAUAUUGAACCGCAUGGUUCAAUAGUGAAAGACGGUUUUGCUGUCACUUAUAGAUGGAUCCGCGCCGCAUUAGCUAGUUGGUAAGGUAACGGCUUACCAAGGCAACGAUGCGUAGCCGACCGGAGAGGGUGAUAGGCCACACUGGAACUGAGACACGGUCCAGACUCCUACGGGAGGCAGCAGUAGGGAAUCUGCCGCAAUGGGCGAAAGCCUGACGGAGCAACGCCGCGUGAGUGAUGAAGGUCUUCGGAUCGUAAAACUCUGUUAUUAGGGAAGAACAAAUGUGUAAGUAACUAUGCACGUCUUGACGGUACCUAAUCAGAAAGCCACGGCUAACUACGUG